UACGUAGGGUGCAGGCGUUAAUCGGAAUUACUGGGCGUAAAGCGUGCGCAGGCGGUUUCUUAAGUCAGAUGUGAAAGCCCCGGGCUUAACCUGGGAACUGCGUUUGAAACUGGGAGACUUGAGUGUGGCAGAGGGGGGUGGAAUUCCACGUGUAGCAGUGAAAUGCGUAGAGAUGUGGAGGAAUACCGAUGGCGAAGGCAGCCCCCUGGGCCAAUACUGACGCUCAUGCACGAAAGCGUGGGGAGCAAACAGG
rnacentral:rRNA from 1 species